GCAGAGCUUGUGUUGAUAGAAGAGUACUGGUACAUUUUCAGAUUAGACUGGUGGGGAUUGGUGGAGGGUUGUCACUUGAGACAAGAAAACCAAUCAUACCAGUUGCGGGGUCUAGUCAAAUGCAGUGCUUCUGUAAUAUGUGCUUAUGCUUUGUGAAGAGUGAAGACUGAAGACACAGUUUAGCCUCUGUAUUUUCCACUCCUGGAAUACCAGCAGCAAGUAAAUCAUUGGAUAGUUCUGAUGCAUGUGUGACUGUUCUUUGUAUUAAACUUGCUACGUGGUGGCCAUGGGAUGAACUCUCAUCAAGCAAAGUUGUUGGAGAACGUGAUGCAGCUAAGACUGUUGAAAUUGAUGCUAUUCCUGCUCUUCAGAAACUGCAGAAG